UACGUAGGGUGCGAGCGUUAAUCGGAAUUACUGGGCGUAAAGCGUGCGCAGGCGGUUUUGUAAGCCAGGUGUGAAAUCCCCCGGGCUCAACCUGGGAAUGGCAUUUGGGACUGCAAGGCUGGAGUGCGGCAGAGGAGACUGGAAUUCCUGGUGUAGCAGUGAAAUGCGUAGAUAUCAGGAGGAACACCGAUGGCGAAGGCAGGUCUCUGGGC
rnacentral:rRNA from 1 species